rnacentral:rRNA from 1 species
AGUGAACGCUGGCGGUAGGCCUAACACAUGCAAGUCGAACGGCAGCACAGUAAGAGCUUGCUCUUACGGGUGGCGAGUGGCGGACGGGUGAGGAAUACAUCGGAAUCUACUUUUUCGUGGGGGAUAACGUAGGGAAACUUACGCUAAUACCGCAUACGACCUACGGGUGAAAGCAGGGGAUCUUCGGACCUUGCGCGAUUGAAUGCGCCGAUGUCGGAUUAGCUAGUUGGCGGGGUAAAGGCCCACCAAGGCGACGAUCCGUAGCUGGUCUGAGAGGAUGAUCAGCCACACUGGAACUGAGACACGGUCCAGACUCCUAAGGGAGGCAGCAGUGGGGAAUAUUGGACAAUGGGCGCAAGCCUGAUCCAGCCAUACCGCGUGGGUGAAGAAGGCCUUCGGGUUGUAAAGCCCUUUUGUUGGGAAAGAAAAGCAGCAGGUUAAUACCCCGCUGUUCUGACGGUACCCAAAGAAUAAGCACCGGCUAACUUCGUG